GCACAACGAGAUGAGGCUGGUCAUUGUCAUUUUCUAAGCUGUGAACGGGCAGGAAGCUGCAUAACGAGAUGAGGCUGGUCAUUGUCAUUUUCUGAGGUGUGAACGGGCAGGAAGCUGCACAACGAGAUGAGGCUGGUCAUUGUCAUUUUCUAAGCUGUGAACGGGCAGGAAGGUG